AAUGGCCUAACGGCUGAACUGGCAACUUGGAGAAGUGAUAAGUCUUAUAUUGUUAUUAUUAAUAAUAACUAUAAGAUUAAAUUAGUAUUGAAUAAAACUUUGUCUAUAUAUUGAUAAUGACGAUAUAUAUAUUAUGUCUUGACUAAUUACGUGCCAGCAGUCGCGGUUAAUACGUAAAGACUAGUGUUAUUCAUCUUAAUUAGGUUUAAAGGGUACCCAAACGGUCAAUAAAACUGACUAGAGUUAUAUGGAAGAAGGCAGUACCUUAAGUGUAGAGAUUAAAUGCUGUCAUACUAGAGGGACUCUGAAAAGGCGUAGGCAGCCUUCUAAGUAACAACUGACGUUGAAGGACGAAAGCAUAGAUCACGAACAGGAUUAGAUACCCAAGUAGUCUUUGCAGUCAAUGAUGAAUGCCAUAGGUUAGAAAAAAUUUUAGUCUAUAAAUGAAAGUGUAAGCAUUUCACCUCAAGAGUAAAGUGGCAACGCAGGAACUGAAAUCACUAGACCGUUUCUGACACCAGUAGUGAAGUAUGUUGUUUAAUUCGAUAAUCCACGAAAAACCUUACCACAAUUUGUAUAUUUAUACAGGAGUUGCACGGCUGUCUGCAGUUGAUGUUGUGAAACUAUGGUUUCCAUGAAUUAACACAAUCCCUUGCUUUA
rnacentral:rRNA from 1 species